AUUUUUCGCACGAUAUAUUUUUUAAUAAACAAGUUACUUGUUUACUAUAAAGAUAAAAAUUAAAAACUGUAAGUUUGUAUCCAAAUCAUGGAAUUGUUUUCAAAAGACAAAAUGAAAUUUUUUUAGAAUGAAACACACUGGUUAGCGCAGUAUUGUGAUACGGACUGAGUUUUCUCUCACAUGCGUUGUAAAUAUAGCAUCAAUAAAGUAUUGUUAUAGAUUAAAAGGUAUAUCAGUGAUCAUCUAUGUUCAUAAUUUUACAAAAAUUUUUGUAAUUUUGUUUUGACAAAAUUAACAAUUUGAAAAACCUUUUGUAUCGUAUAUCUGAUUUUAAUUUUUCAGACUUACCGAGAGUCAAAAGAAAGAACUACUAUCAAAGGAUUAUAAAGGCAACUCUAAACAUAGGAGUACCGCCCUUUCUUUAUUUUACUAAUCGGCAUGAACAUCCGGAUAUUGCCUGAUAUUCAUUUGAAAAACUUGUAGCAAAUACAUCGUUAGAGUCGUGAAGGCAGAAUAGGGAGAAGAGCAUUCUGCACAGACCAUGUGAGAAUUCCCGCAAGGGCAAAUGACCUACCAAGAGGAAACGCACCCGGCCGAAUCACAGACCUGAAGAUGGAGGUCAACUAUCUUGAGAGACAAAAAUCAGCCAAAAUCAGGAAAAAUAUAAAGCCGCGACUAAUAAGGACACGGCAUAAUUAUGUAAAGUGGGGUACGUCACUGUUUUCGCAAGAACGAUGAUCAUCACUUGCGUUGCGAGCGCAUCCUGAGCGGGAAAUAGGAGUGAAAACAAGAUAUCAAGGAUGCAGGAUUCCGGCAAUUCAACAAUAUCGAGAUCUGAGAGGAAAUGCAAAUUGAUGAGACAAACGUUAAAGUCUUUGUAAAGUCGAACAUUUAGAUCUAUUUGUGAAUACAGAAAUAAUGUUUUUACAUUAUUGCUCUCCGAUGCAUUUCACAAAUUUCUUUUGCAAUGUUUCUCCUUCUAGUCGCCACAUUGAGCAGAAAACUACGGUUUCUUUCUCAAAACUUAGAAAAAUGGGGAGUCAUUAAUUUAACUCUUUGAAGCACCAAAGCAACCACUGGAUAAAUUUUUUGACGGUACAUAAGGGUUUUCAGGACUGAUUACAAAUCUGGAGUCAAAAUUUCAAAAUUCAACAUAGUGGACCCAAUAUGGCAGGCAAAUUUAUAAAAAAAAUUUAAUUAAACUUGGUAUACGGAGGUUUUUGGAGGAUUUUAAUUACAAAUUAAAAGUCAAAAUUUUAACAUUCAAAAUGACGGAUCUAAUACGGCGAACGAAUUAAAACUCAAAUAUAUUAUUACUAAAAAACAUUUUUAUUUGCGAUUGCGGCAUGCAAAUAAUCAACUUUUAUUCACACGUAAUCCGUUUUUGGUUUAAAUUUUUACUUUAUAUAGGAACUUUUUUACGAUUUUUAUAGUGCUACCUAUGUUGUACUUUUUUAACAUUUUAAGCCGCCAUUUUGAAUAAAAGAUGUGAAAAUUUCCAAAUUCUGACUUCAAAUUUGAAUUUAGCGCAUCAAAUUACCUAUAAGAUACAACUUUCAGAGCACUAAAAUUUCGGUAUAUUUUUUAAUACUUUAAUUAAUACAUUCUCGGUAAUUCUGAAUACCAUGGUGCUCCAAAGGAUUAAAAAUAAGUAUUGCAAUAGUAAUGUUUUUUUACAAUUUUUUCUAAUAUAUUUCACAAAUUUCUUUUGCAAUAUUCCUUCUUUUAGCCACUAAAUUGACUAAGGCAUUUUGAAUAUCAAGUUUAGCUAGAUAACAUUUCAAAGAACAUGUUUAGAUUUACAUUUUGCGUUACAUUAAACUUGACAGUUUUGCCGUUAAAAACUAUUCUGGACUUGGUGUAAUCGAUUUCACGUGGAACGACGACUCUUAUACACAUCUUACAGAUUGUUCAUUCAAAUUAAACAUAUCUUAAUUAUCAUGACAUUAUGAAGUAUUAUUGAAUAUUAUUAUAUUGUAACAAUGUUGCAACAUUGUAUUGUAAUAUUUAAAAAAAUACUCUAUUGUUACUGCAAUGUUAUAACAAUUGCAGCAAUAUUUGCAGUUUUUUUGCAAUAUUAAAAUAAAUUAUUUUUUGCAAUGUUUC